UACGUAGGGUGCGAGCGUUGUCCGGAAUUACUGGGCGUAAAGAGCUCGUAGGUGGUUUGUCGCGUCGUCUGUGAAAUCCCGGGGCUUAACCUCGGGCGUGCAGGCGAUACGGGCAUAACUUGAGUGCUGUAGGGGAGACUGGAAUUCCUGGUGUAGCGGUGAAAUGCGCAGAUAUCAGGAGGAACACCAAUGGCGAAGGCAGGUCUCUGGGCAGUAACUGACGCUGAGGAGCGAAAGCAUGGGUAGCGAACAGGAUUAGA
rnacentral:rRNA from 1 species